CAGCAGCCGCCACGGGAAUACGGAGGGUGCAAGCGUUAAUCGGAAUUACUGGGCGUAAAGCGCACGCAGGCGGUCUGACAAGUCAGAUGUGAAAUCCCCGGGCUUAACCUGGGAACUGCAUUUGAAACUGUCAGGCUGGAGUCUUGUAGAGGGGGGUGGAAUUCCAGGUGUAGCGGUGAAAUGCGUAGAGAUCUGGAGGAAUACCGGUGGCGAAGGCGGCCCCCUGGACAAAGACUGACGCUCAGGUGCGAAAGCGUGGGGAGCAAACAGGAUUAGAUACCCCUGUAGUCCCUGUCUCUUA
rnacentral:rRNA from 1 species